GUGAGGAAUAUUGGACAAUGGGCGCAAGCCUGAUCCAGCCAUGCCGCGUGCAGGAAGACGCAUCUAUGGUGUGUAAACUGCUUUUGUACGGGAAGAAACACUCCCUCGUGAGGGAGCUUGACGGUACCGUAAGAAUAAGGAUCGGCUAACUCCGUGCCAGCAGCCGCGGUAAUACGGAGGAUCCAAGCGUUAUCCGGAAUCAUUGGGUUUAAAGGGUCCGUAGGCGGGUUAAUAAGUCAGUGGUGAAAGCCCAUCGCUCAACGAUGGAACGGCCAUUGAUACUGGUAGACUUGAAUUACAAGGAAGUAACUAGAAUAUGUAGUGUAGCGGUGAAAUGCUUAGAUAUUACAUGGAAUACCAAUUGCGAAGGCAGGUUACUACUUGUGGAUUGACGCUGAUGGACGAAAGCGUGGGGAGCGAACAGGAUUAGAUACCCUAGUAGUCC
rnacentral:rRNA from 1 species